GACGAACGCUGGCGGCGUGCCUAAUACAUGCAAGUCGAACGCACAGUUUAUACCGUAGCUUGCUACACCAUAGACUGUGAGUUGCGAACGGGUGAGUAACGCGUAGGUAACCUGCCUGGUAGCGGGGGAUAACUAUUGGAAACGAUAGCUAAUACCGCAUAAUAUUAAUUAUUGCAUGAUAAUUAAUUGAAAGGUGCAAUUGCACCACUACCAGAUGGACCUGCGUUGUAUUAGCUAGUAGGUGAGGUAACGGCUCACCUAGGCGACGAUACAUAGCCGACCUGAGAGGGUGAUCGGCCACACUGGGACUGAGACACGGCCCAGACUCCUACGGGAGGCAGCAGUAGGGAAUCUUCGGCAAUGGACGAAAGGCUGACCGAGCAACGCCGCGUGAGUGAAGAAGGUUUUCGGAUCGUAAAGCUCGGUUGUAAGAGAAGAACGGGUGUGAGAGUGGAAAGUUCACACUGUGACGGUAGCUUACCAGAAAGGGACGGCUAACUACGUG
rnacentral:rRNA from 1 species